rnacentral:rRNA from 1 species
CCUACGGGAGNNCCUUAAUNGCGAANGGGUGAGUAACACGUGGGCAAUCUGCCCUUCACUCUGGGACAAGCCCUGGAAACGGGGUCUAAUACCGGAUACGACCUCCGACCGCAUGGUCUGGUGGUGGAAAGCUCCGGCGGUGAAGGAUGAGCCCGCGGCCUAUCAGCUUGUUGGUGGGGUGAUGGCCUACCAAGGCGACGACGGGUAGCCGGCCUGAGAGGGCGACCGGCCACACUGGGACUGAGACACGGCCCAGACUCCUACGGGAGGCAGCAGUGGGGAAUAUUGCACAAUGGGCGAAAGCCUGAUGCACCGACGCCGCGUGAGGGAUGACGGCCUUCGGGUUGUAAACCUCUUUCAGCAGGAAAGAAGCGAGAGUGACUGUACCUGCANAACAAGCGCCGGCUAACUACGUGCCAGCAGCCGCGGUAAUACGUAGGGCGCAAGCGUUGUCCGGAAUUAUUGCGCGUAAAGAGCUCGUAGGCGGCUUGUCACGUCAGAUGUGAAAGCCCGGGGCUUAACCNCGGGUCUGCAUUCGAUACGGGGAGGCUAGACCUCGGUAGGGGAUAUCGGAAUUCCUGGUGUAGCGGUGAAAUGCGCAGAUAUCANGA